AUCUCCCACCGACCAUUCUGGUCUCUUUCCGUCCUUUCCCCGUGUAAAGCCGUGAUCCGAUCUCCUGAAACGAUUCGAUCCGUUUGAAUUCGUUCCGUUUCGUUUCGUUCCGUUCCGUUCUGUUCCGUUCCUCUCUGGACCCUCGUUUCCUUCUCUACUCAUCCGUUCCGUUCCAUUCCAUUCCAUUCAUCUUGUCCGAUCUUUGCUUAUUCUUCGGUACCUUCCUUUUUCUGAUCAACGUUCCAUUGCCGUUUGCAGCUCACCGAAAACAACCCGAGACAGCUCGAAAUCGAAAACGCGUAUCAUCCUACCGCUCCGCCCUGCACAAAUAUCGUUCGAUGUUGCUGCCGCUGCUGCGUAAUUUUCCUGUUUUCUUUAGUGCUGAAAGCGUAUUAGAGAAAGACAUUUAAAAUCUAGUUGAAACAAUGGCCGCGUCGACGCCAACUAUGCAUUGAAAUUCCAAAGACGACCUCGGCAACGAAGAAACGUGAAACUGAAAAAAUGAGAAAAUUGCAUCCGAGGAAAAUGAAGUUAUGAGAACACGGUGAUCGAGAAGUUAAGUGAGAGAAGGGCAAGUAGAUGAGGGAGAUGCGAAUGAAAAAGUAUGGCAAGGCGAAUGAGAACGAUUAAACCUACUCGAGAAAUAAAAAGACGGAAGACGAUGAAAGUAAGGGGAAAAGAAUGGAUCGAAAGAUAAACGAUUGUCGGUUGGAUUGUUUGCCACCAUGUUCGAAUGUUUCGAAAGGUGAUUGAACGGGCAAGUGGGGCGUAAUGAGAGUAACAGCGAACAGAGAGCGAACGAGGCUCGUUGCUCGUAGCCGUGGUCGUUGUCGGACCAGUUGAUACGUUGAUCGACCGGUCAACCGGCUGGUUACCUGUUCGUUCGUUGGUUAUGUUGUUCUAUCUAUCGUAAUACUCUUUCGUUGAUUGAAAAAGGAUAAAACACAGAGACCAGAUCGCGAACUCCGACUUUCUGUGAAUGCUAUUAAUAUCGCCUUGAGGUAAACACGCUUGAUCGGUCUUGCAGCCUUCGAAGAAGCCUUGUGUACGUACAGACAAACAGACAUGCACACACACGCACGCACGCACGCACGCACGCACUCACUCAUAUACUGAAACAAAUAUUUUACGCUUUCCACUCGAGAAACAAGAAUUGCAAAGUUUCAUUUUAUUCGCGAAACAAACAACGAAUCGCUCAACGACCGAGUGCUCGAAUUAGGAUAGAAUUAUGUGUAGCUGAUAAAUCAAGUUUCGUUACCUCCGCGAUUACUUUGUUAAUAUUUUAAUCCUUGUCGUAGAGUUUUUUUGUUUUAUUUGAAAAGAUAGUGCGACGCAUCUAUGUAGACGGCUACACAUUGAAACAAGCUUCGUAUUUCAUUUAUUUAAUCGUAUUAACCACUUUUGGGCAGAUAACAUGGUUUGACCGUAAUUUUCUAUGCUCGAAGAAUUUCAAAUAUACAAAAUAACGACGAUUCGUUUUCUCCAACUAAAUAAAAAAUAAAAAAUAUAGAUACAUAAUGUAAAUAAAUACAAUUCAUACACCGAUACUCCUUUCCUCAAUAAUAUGGUCUCCGUGGAUUAUUC